CGCACACGAAACAAAAAAUUCUUUUUUUAAACAAAAAAAACAAAAAGGAAAUAAAAAUAAGGGUAAACUUCAAAUACCAUUCCUGUAAUUUCAUACUUUUUUAUUUUAAUAUUUUAUAAUUUAAAGUGUAUCAAUUUAAUACUUUGUAGUUUUAUUUUUUUUUUCCGUCAAUUCCUAUGUUAAUUUUUUGUUAAAUCAUAUACAAAAAAAACUUCAGAUUUUUCACUUAGGUAUCGUUUGGUUUGAGGAUAAGCAAAAAGUGAUUAUUUUAAGGAUAGGUAUAAAUUGAGAUUAGAUUAAUUUUGCGUUUGGAUGAAAAUUAGGUUAUUCCUGGAAAUAAAAAAAAUAGCGUUUGGUUAGGUAAGAUGGAAUAAGAAAGAUAGUAGGCUUUAUAAAUAAAAAAUAAUCAUAUUAUCCUCUUAUUAUAUUUGAAUUUAAAUUUUUAAAUUUUAAAUAUAUAUUUUUAAAUUUAAAAUUUUAACUUUGAAAUUCAAAAUUUGAAAUUUAACAUCUCAAACUUUAAAUUCAAAAUUUUAAAUUUAAAAUUUCAAACUUUAAAUUUAAGAUCAAAUUUAAAUUUGAAAAAUAUAAAAUAUCAAAUUUUAAAUUUUAAAAUUAAAAUAUCAAAAUUAAAAUUUAUAAUUUAUAAUUUAUAAUUUAAAAUUAUAAACUUUAAUUUUGAGAUUAUAAAUUAUAAAUUUUAAAAAUUUAAAAUUUUAAUUUUUAAAUUUUUAAAAUAAGAAUCGGGGUGGGAACAAUUAAUAAAAAUAAUUUAUUAUAAUAAAUUUAUAGAUUUUUUAAAAAAUUCUACUUAAACUUAAAUUUAAUAAAAAGAAUUUAUUAUAAUACUUAAAUAUAAUUUACUAUAAAUUUUAUUAUAAUAUUUAAAUAUAAAUAAUAAUUAUUAAUAUAGUACAAUUAAUAAUUUUAUAAUAAAAAUAAUGUAUUAUAAUAUAUAAAUUUUAAAAAAUUAAAUUUUUAAUUUUUAAAUUUUUAAAAUAAGAAUAGGGGUGGGAACAAUUAAUAAAAACUAUUUAUUAUAAUAAAUUUAUAAAUUUUUUUAAAAUUCUACUUAAACUUAAAUUUAAUAAAAAGAAUUUAUUAUAAUAUUUAAAUAUAAUUUAUUAUAAAUUUUAUUAUAAUAUUUAAAUAUAAAUAAUAUGUAUUAAUAUAGUACAAUUAAUAAUUUUAUAAUAAAAAUAAUGUAUUAUAAUAUAUAACAUAUUAUAUUUAUAUAAUUUAGUUUUAAUUUAAUUUAUAAUUUUAAUUAAGUUUGAAAUUAAGCAUUGGAAUAGUGCUAUUCUACCAAAAUGGUGGAAUAACAAAUCCCUUGCUAUUCCGGGAUAACCGGAAAUAGCAAGGUUUGACCGGGAUAAAAUAUCCCGGCCAAAUUUCACCCCGUUUGGCGGAAUAGCGGGGUUAACUUUCGUUAUCCCUGCUUAUUCCCCCAACCAAACGGGGCCUUAUAGUUUAUCGAAUAUUCACUUCAGUAUAUCUUAAUUUUAACUUUGUCACUGAUUUAAUAAAAAAAAUUAGUGAAGGAAAUAACCAAAAAAAAUAAAAAUUACAGAAUAUGAAAAUAAUUUAUUUUAAAUUAUAAAAUACUAAAGUGAUAAAGUGUGAAAAUACAGGAGUAGUAUUUAAAGUUUUCCCUGAAAACA
rnacentral:lncRNA from 1 species